CUUGUUACAAAGGUGGAAGAAAAGCGCCUUAGACGUGGGAGGCUUCUACUAUCCUCCGGAAAACCGAAUCGAAAUACCUUGGGCAAUGUUCCGUCCUCCGUUUUUCCAGCGAGGAGUUCCUCGUUCCCUAAACUUUGGUGCCAUCGGCGGGCUUAUUGCUCACGAAAUGCUCCAUGCCUUCGACGCAAGCGCUAUGCUAACCAACAAGUAUGGAUCAAACAUAAAUCUGGAUUCUAACGAUACAGUGGCGUUUAAAAACAAAACGAAGUGUUUUUUCCGCCAAUACAAAAACGCCAGCGAGGCGCUCUG